UCGGACAUCAGGAGGUUAGUGCAAUGGCAUAAGCCAGCUUGACUGCGAGCGUGACGGCGCGAGCAGGUGCGAAAGCAGGUCAUAGUGAUCCGGUGGUUCUGAAUGGAAGGGCCAUCGCUCAACGGAUAAAAGGUACUCCGGGGAUAACAGGCUGAUACCGCCCAAGAGUUCAUAUCGACGGCGGUGUUUGGCACCUCGAUGUCGGCUCAUCACAUCCUGGGGCUGAAGUAGGUCCCAAGGGUAUGGCUGUUCGCCAUUUAAAGUGGUACGCGAGCUGGGUUUAGAACGUCGUGAGACAGUUCGGUCCCUAUCUGCCGUGGGCGCUGGAGAAUUGAGGGGGGCUGCUCCUAGUACGAGAGGACCGGAGUGGACGCAUCACUGGUGUUCGGGUUGUCAUGCCAAUGGCACUGCCCGGUAGCUAAAUGCGGAAGAGAUAAGUGCUGAAAGCAUCUAAGCACGAAACUUGCCCCGAGAUGAGUUCUCCCUGACUCCUUGAGAGUCCUGAAGGAACGUUGAAGACGACGACGUUGAUAGGCCGGGUGUGUAAGCGCAGCGAUGCGUUGAGCUAACCGGUACUAAUGAACCGUGAGGCUUAACCUUACAACGCCGAAG
rnacentral:rRNA from 1 species